rnacentral:rRNA from 1 species
AUUGAACGCUGGCGGAAUGCCUUACACAUGCAAGUCGAACGGCAGCACGGGAGCAAUCCUGGUGGCGAGUGGCGAACGGGUGAGUAAUACAUCGGAACGUGCCCAAUCGUGGGGGAUAACGUAGCGAAAGCUACGCUAAUACCGCAUACGAUCUACGGAUGAAAGCAGGGGACUCGCAAGAGCCUUGCGCGAAUGGAGCGGCCGAUGGCAGAUAGGUAGUUGGUGGGGUAAAGGCUCACCAAGCCUUCGAUCUGUAGCUGGUCUGAGAGGACGACCAGCCACACUGGGACUGAGACACGGCCCAGACUCCUACGGGAGGCAGCAGUGGGGAAUUUUGGACAAUGGGCGCAAGCCUGAUCCAGCCAUUCCGCGUGCAGGAUGAA